AUCCAGGUGACGAGUCCGAAAUAGGACGAAAUGCGCAUCCUGGAU
rnacentral:hammerhead_ribozyme from 1 species